CAGCCAGACUCCUACGGGAGGCAGCAGUGGGGAAUAUUGCACAAUGGGGGAAACCCUGAUGCAGCGACGCCGCGUGAGCGAUGAAGUAUUUCGGUAUGUAAAGCUCUAUCAGCAGGGAAGAAAAUGACGGUACCUGACUAAGAAGCCCCGGCUAACUACGUGCCAGCAGCCGCGGUAAUACGUAGGGGGCAAGCGUUAUCCGGAUUUACUGGGUGUAAAGGGAGCGUAGACGGCCAUUCAAGCCAGAUGUGAAAGCCCGGGGCUCAACUCCGGGACUGCAUUUGGAACUGUGGGGCUAGAGUGUCGGAGAGGCAGGCGGAAUUCCUAGUGUAGCGGUGAAAUGCGUAGAUAUUAGGAGGAACACCAGUGGCGAAGGCGGCCUGCUGGACGAUGACUGACGUUGAGGCUCGAAAGCGUGGGGAGCAAACAGGAUUAGAUACCCCGGUAGAC
rnacentral:rRNA from 1 species